UAGGAUUUCUCUUGUGUAUCUCUGGCCUUUCCUGGAACUCACUCCGUAGACCAGGCUGGCUGGCCUCGAACUCACAGAGAACCACCUUCCUCUGCCUCCCUAAGUGCUGGGAUUAAAGGUGUGCACCACCAAUGCCUGGCUUUUAACACUAUCAAAACGGUGCACCUGCCCUGGCCGCCAGGUUGCCUGCCCUGGUCACUUCACCUAUAAUUAUUUCCCUCGUGUUUCUUAUGAAAUUUAAACCAGGUCACUUCCCCGUUUAUCCCAUCCCGUUUAUCUCCCUUACAUGAUAGGAUUUUUAUUAGUUCUCUUCCAUGUACCGAGCAAUAUACUACUGAAUUGUGCGUUCCAUUAACAGUUAGACGAGGCCGGGGGAUACAACAGUACCUAAGAUGCGUUCUCUUCACCACAGAUUUCUUGAAUGGAAGAAAAACGAGCAAACCAGAGGUGAGUGUCAUUCCUGCUGGAACCGAGUUCAAGAAGACAGGAAACAGGCCGGUGGUUCUUCCCGUCCCUUUGCAAUGGGAGGGGGGAGACGGUUGUUUGUUAUUCUUGACAUUGCAAUAGAAGUCUAAACAGAAGUUGUCCCUGCGCCACCACAGUAGACCGAGUGCUGGAACACUGUUCCGGAAUUAAACUAUAUGAUUUCCAGCAGCCCUCCCAGCGGAACUAUAAAUGCACAUUUUGGGGAGACCAUAGUUGAGUACUCACAAAUAUCCAUAGCAGAACAGCAACUCAGCAACAUCAGAUUCUUAUCCAAAGGCAUUACUGAAUGUGCUGGGCUUCGAUUUGGGGAACAAGAUUUUUUUUUUUUUAAGUACAUAGAUAGACCCAUGCAGGUAACUGUAUUGUUUACUAAGGGGGCUCGAAGGUCGAAGGUUAUUAGCUGAUACUGAAAGCAAUAAACACUAUUAUAGCAGAAACGAUGACCUAUGAUGCUUCUAAAUUCCACCCUGCACUUUCACCCAUGCUGCCUUUGACCUAUUCGUUUUGGCAAAACAUUGAAAAGAUUAACCAUGCCUUUUUAAUGACCCAGAACCUGUGCGGAGACAGCCUGGACUCGAUCCCUCCGAUUCUGAGUCUGAAUCAGUCCUUGUGCCCAGGCACCUAGCUGAUAUUCCCGUGUGUGUUGCGGUCAAAAUCAAAAGGGAAGAGAAGCGCUCAGGGUCACGUGAGUGCCAGUCACCACAGGUACUGAGCUGUGCUUGGGGCCGGCCAGGUGUGCCCGCCCUGCCCUGCGUCUCUCCUGCUUAGGAACAGACACGCCACGAGAGACUGGAGAAGAGCGAGGCGAGGGACAGGAAGGUCAUCCCGAUCCCAACCUCACUCCCCUGGAACGUCCGGGCGCGGCGAUUGCAGAGGACCAGGACAGCAGGGCCACACUGCCUGGGGCUUCACCGCGCGUCCGCGCUGCACCAAGCCGACUCCCAGGCGCCGCGGGCUCAAGGUCCCAGCCAAGGGAGAGGCCGACGUGUGUAAGUUGCGUUCUGGACAGUCCCAGCUGUGAUGCUGAAGAGCUCCGAGCCAGCGCUUGGCCAAGCCUCCCGCUAGAAUCCCGGGCAGAGACCGCCCUCGACCCGGCGCUGACAUUAUUCUGCAUAGCUCAACGGCUACUCGGGUCUCCGGUGCCCCAGUUGUGGCCGCUCUGCUUCCCUAGGGACUGGGGUCGUGGCAGACUGCCCACGCGCCGGGGAUCUGCACGCCUGGGGCCUGGACUCCCUUCAGAGACUCACACGCAGUGGUGAGUCCCGCGAAGGGCAAAGGAUGAUACCUACUGACCUCACUCCCGCCCCUUUCGUGUAUGUAACAUAUUGAGAGAGUCGUGAGGAACAACAAGGAGAAACUGCCAUGAUUUAUCAAGACAAGAAGUAAUCCUCGGGCAUCACAAGAUGAUUCAGGAUGGAUCCUGAAGCUGCCCAGCUAGAGAAACGGCACGUACAUGAUGUGUAUGAGAGCACCGCCCCCUACUUCAGCGAGCUGCAGAGCAAAGCUUGGCCGCGAGUCCGCCAGUUCCUGCAGGACCAGAAACCAGGCAGCCUCAUCGCUGACAUUGGCUGUGGAACUGGAAAGUACCUUAAAGUGAAUAGCCAAGUCCAUACCCUGGGCUGUGACUACUGCGGGCCUCUGGUGGAGAUUGCCCGGAACAGAGGGGGUGAAGUCAUGAUAUGUGACAACCUUAAUCUCCCCUUUAGGGACCAGGGCUUCGAUGCCAUCAUCUCCAUAGGAGUCAUUCAUCAUUUUUCUACAAAACAAAGAAGAAUUAGAGCCAUAAAGGAAAUGGCCAGGGUCUUAGCUCCUGGAGGCCAACUGAUGAUUUACGUUUGGGCAAUGGAACAGAAGAACCGACACUUCGAGAAGCAGGAUGUGCUUGUGCCGUGGAACAAUGCACUCUGCUCCCGGCUGCUCUCAGAAUCCCACCAGUCCUGGGGGCAUCAGUGUGGGCAUCCCAUGAGCCAAGGCUAUGAGGGUCCUGGCUCUGCAUGUGGCUGUGCAGUAUGUUUGAAGGGCAGGUGCGAUUCCAAGAGGUCCCACAGCAUGGACUAUGGGCCUGCGGUGACCAGAACCUGCUGUGAAGAUAUUCCGAAGGAUGGUGAGGAAGAGAAUGGAUUGUAUAACAAUUUUGGAAAAUCUCUUCGCUCCUGGUUUUUUUCCAGGUCUUUGGAUGAAUCAACCCUGAAGAAGCAAACUGAAAGAACAGGACCUAUGAAAAUCACAGAGAGUUGGGCCAAUAACACUGUGUCCCGUCAGCCUUCCAGACAGCCCAGUUUAGACUUCCAUCCCCAGGACCCAUUGUCAACCAAAGGACCAAACUUAGAUGAGGUAUUCGUAGACACAUGUUCUCAAAGACACUUGCGCUGCCUGGGACAAGCGGGCACUUCGGAGACCUUCAGUGGACACCAGGGAGGAGACAGCAGGAGGAAGGAGGGUGCCGAUUUUCUGGACAUCACUGACACCAGAGACAGUCGGGCUGCAGGUAACGUCAGUGAUCCUUCUGCCAGGAAAUUAUUAAGGAGAGUUUCUGCAUUCGACUCUACAGAUUCCCAAUCAGAAGACCCAAGUUACGCAGAGGAGCAGGAGGCAGCUCCGGACUCCAGAGCCUUCAUGCGCUACUACCACGUGUUCCGGGAAGGCGAGCUGUCCGGACUUCUGCAAGAGAGUGUGUCUGAGCUGCAGGUUCUGAGUGCUGGCAAUGAUCAUGGCAACUGGUGUAUCAUCGCAGAGAAAAGGGGGAGCUAGGAUUAAUUGCAUCGCUCGGGGCAGGGGCUUCAGAGGUUGACCAUCAUCUGUCCACUGGAGCUGAUGUGGGCACUCAAAUCAGCAUCCUGUUUCAUUGUUUUCAAAUCCAGGUGGUUCCUUAGAUCUUUGUGGACGGUAACAAGGACCCCUGCUCAGCUGCUGGGUAUGUAUUCUUUGAGGCUUGCUGCCGGGGUAUCUUGCUUCCAGGCUUUGCUUCUACCUACUUCAAG